UUGACUUUUUAUAUGUUUUCAUUUUCAAAAGCUUGUAUAAUAUUUGUUAAGUAAGUAGUUUCAUACAUACUUGAAGUGGAUAAAAUAUGGAAAACGUAAAUUUAAGCUGCACCCCUCCAGUUAUUAUACAAGAAGUCUGUGAUGAUAAAUCUUGCGGCACGGGCACGGAGCAAGACGCGCCGCUUCCGGGAGCGAGGUCGCCGGACGCCGGUGUGCGCGAACCUUUACGUUGCAGUGAUGGCGAGCGAGCAAUUCUCAACGGUUAUAUGUCGCUGGUUCGGAGAUGUAUCGAGUUGGCGGAAAAAGUAAUCGCUGUCGAGACAUUAGCCUCUGUUCGUCUAUAAGUCGCUUUCGAAUUUUGCGUUGGUCAGUUUCAACUUUGUCCCCAUACAUAUAAAACUCAAAAUUGUAGAACUAAUUAAUUAAACCGAAAAAAAAACAAUUAUGCUCAACAAUUUUCAGCUUUAUACGCAUGAGUAUAAAAUUGAAUUCCAAUGUAUUCGACGCGUAAAACUUACGCCUUUACGAAACAUGAUAAUGUUCUAGGUAGGUAGGCUAGGUAGUAGGAUGCGAUGUAUACGAGAUGUGAAGGUAUAUACCAUUUUGUAAUAUUUACUUUUUAUAUUAAAUAUGAUAUUA